GUGAAUCAUCAAAUCUUUGAACGCAAAUUGCACUCUCUUCGGAGAGUAUGCCUGUUUGAGGGUCAGCCUAAAAAAAAUGGACUUAUUGGUGUUUACCCGUUACCAUUGUUGGGAAUUUGGUUCAUUUUAAACCUUGGGUUUUAGGCGCCUUAAAUUUUCUUUAAGAUUUCAAAGAAGGUUUCU
rnacentral:misc_RNA from 1 species